rnacentral:rRNA from 1 species
AUUGAACGCUGGCGGCAGGCCUAACACAUGCAAGUCGAACGGCAGCGGGGGGAAGCUUGCUUCCCCGCCGGCGAGUGGCGGACGGGUGAGUAAUGCCUGGGGAGCUGCCCAAUCGAGGGGGAUACCAGUUGGAAACGACUGCUAAUACCGCAUACGCCUCGAGGGGGAAAGAUGGGGAUCUUCGGACCUAUCGCGAUUGGAUGCACCCAGGUGGGAUUAGCUAGUUGGUGAGGUAACGGCUCACCAAGGCGACGAUCUCUAGCUGGUCUGAGAGGAUGACCAGCCACACUGGAACUGAGACACGGUCCAGACUCCUACGGGAGGCAGCAGUGGGGAAUAUUGCACAAUGGGGGAAACCCUGAUGCAGCCAUGCCGCGUGUGUGAAGAAGG